rnacentral:tRNA from 1 species
GGUUCGAUGGCGUAGUUGGUUAUCGCAUCUGUCUAACAUCUCGACCCUUUCUAGUGUUUCACAGAAGGUUCCCGGUUCGAGCCCGGGUUGAAUCA